UAGUCCACGCUGUAAACGAUGAGAACUAGCCGUUGGAUUCUUUACUGGAUUUAGUGGCGCAGCUAACGCGAUAAGUUCUCCGCCUGGGGAGUACGGCCGCAAGGUUAAAACUCAAAUGAAUUGACGGGGGCCCGCACAAGCGGUGGAGCAUGUGGUUUAAUUCGAAGCAACGCGAAGAACCUUACCUGGCCUUGACAUCCUGCGAACUUGGGAGAGAUUCCUUGGUGCCUUUCGGGAGCGCGGAGACAGGUGCUGCAUGGCUGUCGUCAGCUCGUGUUGUGAAAUGUUGGGUUAAGUCCCGUAACGAGCGCAACCCUUGUCCUUAUUUGCCAGCACUUCGGGUGGGAACUUUAGGGAGACUGCCGGUGACAAACCGGNGGAAGGUGGGGACGACGUCAAGUCAUCAUGGCCCUUACGGGCCAGGGGCUACACACGUGCUACAAUGGGGACGUACAGAGGGGUGGCGAAGCCGCGAGGGUGAAGCUAAUCUCA
rnacentral:rRNA from 1 species